CACGUAGGGUGCGAGCGUUGUCCGGAAUUAUUGGGCGUAAAGAGCUCGUAGGCGGUCUGUCGCGUCGGUCGUGAAAACCUGCAGCUUAACUGUGGGCUUGCGGUCGAUACGGGCAUGACUGGAGUUCGGCAGGGGAGACUGGAAUUCCUGGUGUAGCGGUGAAAUGCGCAGAUAUCAGGAGGAACACCGGUGGCGAAGGCGGGUCUCUGGGACGUGACUGACGCUCAUGUACGAAAGCGUGGGGAGCAAACAGGG
rnacentral:rRNA from 1 species